rnacentral:piRNA from 2 species
UCCGUCGUUAGAUCGAAUGGCUUCCUGA